rnacentral:rRNA from 1 species
CAAGUCGAGCGAACAGACGAGGAGCUUGCUCCUCUGACGUUAGCGGCGGACGGGUGAGUAACACGUGGAUAACCUACCUAUAAGACUGGGAUAACUUCGGGAAACCGGAGCUAAUACCGGAUAAUAUAUUGAACCGCAUGGUUCAAUAGUGAAAGACGGUUUUGCUGUCACUUAUAGAUGGAUCCGCGCCGCAUUAGCUAGUUGGUAAGGUAACGGCUUACCAAGGCAACGAUGCGUAGCCGACCUGAGAGGGUGAUCGGCCACACUGGAACUGAGACACAGUCCAGACUCCUACGGGAGGCAGCAGUAGGGAAUCUUCCGCAAUGGGCGAAAGCCUGACGGAGCAACGCCGCGUGAGUGAUGAAGGUCUUCGGAUCGUAAAACUCUGUUAUUAGGGAAGAACAAAUGUGUAAGUAACUAUGCACGUCUUGACGGUACCUAAUCAGAAAGCCACGGCUAACUACGUGCCAGCAGCCGCGGUAAUACGUAGGUGGCAAGCGUUAUCCGGAAUUAUUGGGCGUAAAGCGCGCGUAGGCGGUUUUUUAAGUCUGAUGUGAAGGCCCACGGCUCAACCGUGGAGGGUCAUUGGAAACUGGAAAACUUGAGUGCAGAAGAGGAAAGUGGAAUUCCAUGUGUAGCGGUGAAAUGCGCAGAGAUAUGGAGGAACACCAGUGGCGAAGGCGACUUUCUGGUCUGUAACUGACGCUGAUGUGCGAAAGCGUGGGGAUCAAACAGGAUUAGAUACCCUGGUAGUCCACGCCGUAAACGAUGAGUGCUAAGUGUUAGGGGGUUUCCGCCCCUUAGUGCUGCAGCUAACGCAUUAAGCACUCCGCCUGGGGAGUACGACCGCAAGGUUGAAACUCAAAGGAAUUGACGGGGACCCGCACAAGCGGUGGAGCAUGUGGUUUAAUUCGAAGCAACGCGAAGAACCCUUACCAAAUCUUGACAUCCUCUGACCCCUCUAGAGAUAGAG